rnacentral:rRNA from 1 species
UACAGAGGUCUCAAGCGUUGUUCGGAUUCAUUGGGCGUAAAGGGUGCGUAGGCGGCGGGGCAAGUCUGAUGUGAAAUCCCGGGGCUCAACCCCGGAACUGCAUUGGAUACUGCCUUGCUAGAGUACUGGAGAGGGAACUGGAAUUUACGGUGUAGCAGUGAAUGCGUAGAGAUCGUAAGGAAGGCCAGUGGCGAAGGCGGCAUCCUGGACCGGUAUUGACGCUGAGGCGCGAAAGCUAGGGGAGCAAACGGG